ACAAGGUUUCCGUAGGUGAACCUGCGGAAGGAUCAUUGUGAAA
rnacentral:rRNA from 1 species